UUUCCCUGCAAUCCAGCAAUACCCAUCAGUUCAAACCACGAGUUCUCAGGCACUUGCACUUCACAAUCGCGGCGGUUUACGAUUUGAGUUUCAGCACAUAAUGUCAAGCGCGACUCACCUCUAUUUCUUGCUUUGAACAUGAAAUCGGUCACGAACGUUUCAUAGAUUCUUAAAUACCAGAGAUUUAUAAUCUUGAAUAUUCAGCUUGCAGAUUACAAUUUAACAAGCAGGACUGACUGUCAACAAUCUGCAGAACUGAAUAAGAUUCUUGAGCAGUGUGCGUCCCAGGCUUCAGUGAGCGCAUGACGGCAAUGUUGCCAAGGAGAUUCUCGAGGGCAAAGGCGGUUCUGGCACUCUCCGCGUCUUGCGAUUUGGACCCAGAACAGCGUAAAUUCGUCCCCGAUUCGCACACGCAUUCUCGUCUGUUCUCCCAACGUAAUUCAGCAAGAACGCCAUUGUUGCUUCCAAUGACUUGCAUGGGACAAAUGGGGGCCGCACCGCGAAUCCGUCAAUUGCUCCACGGGGGCUCUCCAGUUUAGGGCUUUGUGCGUCUUCGUCACUUGCUUGUCUUCAGAUUGCAAUCUGCUUUCGCACUAUAAUUCGCUAUCGAGGUCACACCAUUAAUUUAAAAUUCAAUAAACAUCAAUUCCCAAUUACGAUUAUUAACCCACAAAUUACUGAUCCAAAUUUUGUAAAUAUUGGUAAUUUUCAAUAAAAUAAUAAGUUGGCAAGAAGAUUAUUUCA